rnacentral:rRNA from 1 species
CAAGUCGAACGUGAAGUUCCGCUUCGGCGGGAUGGAAAGUGGCGCAAGGGUGAGUAACACGUGAGUAACCUGCCCCCGACUUCGGGAUAGCCCCGGGAAACUGGGAUUAAUACCGGAUGCGGCGGCCCUCCGCCGGGAGGGCUUGCCAAAGAUUGAGUUCGGUCGGGGAUGGGCUCGCGGCCCAUUAGCUUGUUGGCGGGGUAACGGCCCACCAAGGCUACGACGGGUAGGUGGUCUGAGAGGAUGGUCACCCACACUGGGACUGAGACACUGCCCAGACUCCUACGGGAGGCUGCAGUCGAGAAUCUUCCGCAAUGGGCGCAAGCCUGACGGAGCGAUGCCGCGUGAGGGAUGAAGGCCUUCGGGUUGUAAACCUCUGUCACCCGGGACGAAGAAGUGACGGUACCGGGAGAGGAAGCCACGGCUAACUACGUGCCAGCAGCCGCGGUAAUACGUAGGUGGCGAGCGUUAUUCGGAUUUACUGGGCGUAAAGGGUCCGUAGGGGGUCUGUCAAGUCCGAUGUGAAAUUCCGGGGCUCAACCCCGGAACGUGCAUUGGAUACUGCCGGACUUGAGUGCGCGAGAGGAAAGCGGAAUUCCAGGUGUAGCGGUGGAAUGCGUAGAUAUCUGGAAGAACACCCGCGGCGAAGGCGGCUUUCUGGCGCGUCACUGACCCUGAGGGACGAAAGCGUGGGUAGCGAACAGGAUUAGAUACCCUGGUAGUCCACGCCGUANACGUUGUGCACUAGAUGUGGGGGGUC